rnacentral:rRNA from 1 species
CAGCCGCCACGGUAAUACGUAGGGUGCAAGCGUUAAUCGGAAUUACUGGGCGUAAAGCGUGCGCAGGCGGUUUUGUAAGACAGAGGUGAAAUCCCCGGGCUCAACCUGGGAACUGCCUUUGUGACUGCAAGGCUAGAGUACGGCAGAGGGGGAUGGAAUUCCGCGUGUAGCAGUGAAAUGCGUAGAUAUGCGGAGGAACACCGAUGGCGAAGGCAAUCCCCUGGGCCUGUACUGACGCUCAUGCACGAAAGCGUGGGGAGCAAACAGGAUUAGAUACCCGCGUAGUCCCUGUCUCUUAUAC